GCAGUACUCCCUCCGUUUCAUAAUUCUUGUCGAAAUAUUACAUGUAUGUAGACGCUUUUUAAAAUAGAUACAUUUAUUUUUGGGCAAAUUUGAGACAAGAAUUAUGGAACGGAGGGAGUAAGUU
rnacentral:pre_miRNA from 1 species